rnacentral:rRNA from 1 species
AUUGAACGCUGGCGGCGUGCUUAACACAUGCAAGUCGAGCGGAAGCAAGGACACGGAAUUUUUCGGAAGGAAGUGUGUUUGCUUUAGCGGCGGACGGGUGAGUAACACGUAGGGAACCUGCCCGUGCACCGGGGAAUACGCUCUGGAAACGGAGAACAAAUCCCGAUGUACAGGAAGGAGGCAUCUUCUUUCUGUGAAACAUCCUUUUAGGGGGAUGGGGGCGCGGAUGGACCUGCGGUGCAUUAGUUGGUUGGCGGGGUAAAGGCCCACCAAGACGAUGAUGCAUAGCCGGCCUGAGAGGGCGGACGGCCACAUUGGGACUGAGACACGGCCCAAACUCCUACGGGAGGCAGCAGUAGGGAAUUUUUGUCAAUGGGGGAAACCCUGACGCAGCAACGCCGCGUGCGGGACGAAGGCCCUCGGGUCGUAAACCGCUUUCAGCAGGGAAGACCUUACGACGGUACCUGCAGAAGAAGCUCCGGCUGACUACGUG